AACGAACGCUGGCGGCAGGCCUAACACAUGCAAGUCGAACGCCGUAGCAAUACGGAGUGGCAGACGGGUGCGUAACACGUGGGAACAUACCCUUUGGUUCGGAAUAACUCAGGGAAACUUGAGCUAAUACCGGAUAAGCCCUUACGGGGAAAGAUUUAUCGCCAAAGGAUUGGCCCGCGUCUGAUUAGCUAGUUGGUGAGGUAACGGCUCACCAAGGCGACGAUCAGUAGCUGGUCUGAGAGGAUGAUCAGCCACACUGGGACUGAGACACGGCCCAGACUCCUACGGGAGGCAGCAGUGGGGAAUAUUGGACAAUGGGCGCAAGCCUGAUCCAGCCAUGCCGCGUGAGUGAUGAAGGCCUUAGGGUUGU
rnacentral:rRNA from 1 species